rnacentral:rRNA from 1 species
GAUGAACGCUGGCGGCGUGCCUAAUACAUGCAAGUCGAGCGAACAGAUGAGGAGCUUGCUCCUCUGACGUUAGCGGCGGACGGGUGAGUAACACGUGGAUAACCUACCUAUAAGACUGGGAUAACUUCGGGAAACCGGAGCUAAUACCGGAUAAUAUAUUGAACCGCAUGGUUCAAUAGUGAAAGACGGUUUUGCUGUCACUUAUAGAUGGAUCCGCGCCGCAUUAGCUAGUUGGUAAGGUAACGGCUUACCAAGGCAACGAUGCGUAGCCGACCUGAGAGGGUGAUCGGCCACACUGGAACUGAGACACGAUCCAGACUCCUACGGGAGGCAGCAGUAGGGAAUCUUCCGCAAUGGGCGAAAGCCUGACGGAACAACGCCGCGUGAGUGAUGAAGGUCUUCGGAUCGUAAAACUCUGUUAUUAGGGAAGAACAAAUGUGUAAGUAACUAUGCACGUCUUGACGGUACCUAAUCAGAAAGCCACGGCUAACUACGUG